GACGAACGCUGGCGGCGUGCUUAACACAUGCAAGUCGAACGGAAAGGCCCUGCUUUUGUGGGGUGCUCGAGUGGCGAACGGGUGAGUAACACGUGAGUAACCUGCCCUUGACUUUGGGAUAACUUCAGGAAACUGGGGCUAAUACCGGAUAGGAGCUCCUGCUGCAUGGUGGGGGUUGGAAAGUUUCGGCGGUUGGGGAUGGAAUCGCGGCUUAUCAGCUUGUUGGUGGGGUAGUGGCUUACCAAGGCUUUGAAGGGUAGCCGGCCUGAGAGGGUGACCGGCCACGUUGGGACUGAGAUACGACCCAGACUCCUACGGGAGGCAGCAGUGGAGAAUAUUGCACAAUGGGCGGAAGCCUGAUGCAGCAACGCCGCGUGCGGGAUGACGGCCAUCGGGUUGUGAACCGCUGUCGCCUGUGACGAAGCGUGAGUGACGGUAAUGGGUAAAGAAGCACCGGCUAACUACGUG
rnacentral:rRNA from 1 species